rnacentral:rRNA from 1 species
GACGAACGCUGGCGGCGCGCUUAACACAUGCAAGUCGAGCGAAGCGGCGGACGGGUGAGUAACACGUGAGUAACCUGCAUUAGCCAUUGGGAUAGCCUCGGGAAAACGGGAUUAAUACCAAAUGGUCUAAGAUGGACUCGAGUCCCAUUAGCUAUUUGGUGAGGUAACGGCCCACCAAGGCGACGAUGGGUAGCCGGACUGAGAGGGUGAACGGCCACAUGUGAACUGAGAAACGGUCCAAACUCUACGGGAGGGAGCAGUGGGGAAUAGUGCACAAUGGAGGGAACGCUGAGGCAGCGACGCCGCGUGAACGAAGAAGGCUGUCGAGUCGUAAAGUGCUUUUAUAUGGGAAGCGGUACCAAAAGAAAAAGCCCCGGCUAACUACGUGCCAGCCGCCGCGGUAAUUC